UUUUUUUUUUUUUUUUUUGGUCAUAUAGAAGUAUAUAUGGUAAGCUUCAUUCCAUAAAUUGGGAUAUUUUGUUGCUGCAUUGUGAACUACUGAGAGAAAAAUCACUCCAAGAUGUUUGUUUGAAGUUUCUCCAUGGAUGGAUGGAAUGAAUUGUGUUAUAUGUUAGGUUCAUUGGCUUGAUGCUUUCAGGUCCACAUUUCCCUGGGUUAUUGCUCUUGAUCUCUUGCUGUUCUAAUGCUCUAGACAAAAAAGUCCAUCCUUUUGGACUAAUUUUUCUUCUGGGUGCAAGGAGGAAAGCUGACCGGGAUUUGAGUUAGGUGAUUGUGAGUUUCUUAGUAGUCCCACAGGCAUUUCUGUUUUCUGAGUACCAAGUUUUAAGAUCUCUUUUCAAUGAUUGUGGAUUCCUCUUUGAGUUGCUACUGUUUCUACUACCAUAGAAUGGAGUGAUCUUGAUGUGGUGUACAAAGAUUUUGCUUGGCUUUGUUUUUACUUCGACCGGACAUUGUGGGGUUGGUGAUGGUAAACUGGUAAUGAAUGAUGACUUGUUCUUUUCUAUUCUCAUUUCCUGUAGGGUUUGAUGAAAAAUUGAGAGGUACUGGCUAAAGCUGCUCCCUCUCUUCCCCUUCAUUUGGAAACAACAUCUCUCUCUUCCUGAGUCUCAGUUUUUUUUCUUCUUCCUCCUCUCCUAAUCCAGACCUGGCCAGAUGCUCAUUGGAGGGUUAGCGGCUUAAUGAGGUUAGUGAGAAAAGGACCGAAAACAUUCUUACUUAGGCAUUAGUAUCCCAUCUUAUCUUAUAUACAAAAUGCAAUCGAUCAGUACAUAUGGUACUUUUAUUGUUUUCACUUUUAAGUUCUUUUCAAUUCCACUCUACCUUCUAUGAUAUAGUGAUUGAAAUCAUGCAGUUAAGUGUCGGCAAAGUUUCUUCAUGGAGCGAGGGGUGGCUAUGGUGAAAGCGACACCUCCUCAUUUCCUGUCCUUCCCUUUUCGUGAGGCCAAUACUUGGACAACAAUCUAUCUACUACCCUUAUCUAUCUAUCUAUAAAAUAUAUAUUAGAUUAGAUGCUGGCCGGGCCCCAACAAGCCGUGACAUCUCCAUUAGUAGCGUGGGGCCCUUUGUGUGAAAAGAAAGUGCAGAGAGGGGCGCUUUUUUUCCUCCCAACUUCUACCUUUCGCUUUCCCUGGUGCUCGCUGCCAUCGUUUUCAAUCCUUCAUUUUUCUCCACCGGUUGGGAGUGGAGGGUGACCGGUCUUGGACCGGCCGGGCAGGCUUUUUCUUCCUUUCUAUUAAACAUGGGCCCAGCAAGCUUUUCCUUUCUUGUCUUUU